rnacentral:rRNA from 1 species
UCCUACGGGAGGCAGCAGUGGGGAAUAUUGCACAAUGGGCGCAAGCCUGAUGCAGCCAUGCCGCGUGUAUGAAGAAGGCCUUCGGGUUGUAAAGUACUUUCAGCGGGGAGGAAGGCGACGGGGUUAAUAACCACAUCAAUUGACGUUACCCGCAGAAGAAGCACCGGCUAACUCCGUGCCAGCAGCCGCGGUAAU